GGGGCUGUCAUGGUUUCGACAGGGAUAUGUUUGGUAUAGACGGCAAUCGUGUGGCUACGUAAAGGCUCUUAAAAAUAAACGGAAAAAACUUAUUUGCUAACUUAUUCGCAGGAAACCGCGAAUUAGCACUUGCUGCUUAAUUAACCUAAUAACUGGUUUGCAGCCGUCCACUUAUUCCGCCUCCUUUAGGAAUAAUCUGGGUGUCAGAAAUAAAGGAUAGAUACCAGUUCAGUCUGAUGGACUGCUAUUGAAAAUAAAAUCAGACGCAUCAACAGGAGUUUGUUCAUCAUUACCUGUUGAAUAUCGGGUAUGAACUAAAUUGUAGAUGUCUAUACGUGGGACUGUUUCUGGACAGGGGUUCGACUCCCCUCAGCUCCACCA
rnacentral:tmRNA from 1 species